rnacentral:misc_RNA from 1 species
GAUGAAGAACGUAGCGAAAUGCGAUAAGUAAUGUGAAUUGCAGAAUUCAGUGAAUCAUCGAAUCUUUGAACGCACCUUGCACCCUUUGGCAUUCCGAAGGGUAUGCUCGUUUGAGUGUCAUUGUACUCUCACACUUCCAAUCUUUGGAUUGGGAGCAGUGGACUUGGGUGUUGCUGCUUACUGUGGCUCACCUCAAAUCGAUUCGUGCACCUCUUGGUUGGACAUAGUACGGCGUGAUAAGUGUCUGCGCCGGCACCUCAGUAGAGGGUGGCUGAUCAGGAGCUCUGUGCUUCAAACCGUCCUCGGACAACAACUGACAACUUGACCUCAGAUCGAGUAGGACUACCCGCUGAACUUAAGCAUAUCAAUAAGCGGAGGA